rnacentral:rRNA from 1 species
GACGGAGGAUGCAAGCGUUAUCCGGAAUGAUUGGGCGUAAAGCGUCCGCAGGUGGCAGUUCAAGUCUGCUGUCAAAGACCGGGGCUUAACUUCGGAAAGGCAGUGGAAACUGAACAGCUAGAGUAUGGUAGGGGCAGAGGGAAUUCCUGGUGUAGCGGUGAAAUGCGUAGAGAUCAGGAAGAACAUCGGUGGCGAAGGCGCUCUGCUGGACCUUAACUGACACUGAGGGACGAAAGCGAGGGGAGCGAAUGGG